GACGAACGCUGGCGGCGUGCUUAACACAUGCAAGUCGAACGCUGAAGCUUGGUGCUUGCACUGGGUGGAUGAGUGGCGAACGGGUGAGUAAUACGUGAGUAACCUGCCCUUGACUCUGGGAUAAGCCUGGGAAACUGGGUCUAAUACUGGAUACGACAUGUCACCGCAUGGUGGUGUGUGGAAAGGGUUUUACUGGUUUUGGGUGGGCUCACGGCCUAUCAGCUUGUUGGUGGGGUAAUGGCUCACCAAGGCGACGACGGGUAGCCGGCCUGAGAGGGGGAAAGGGCAAAGAGGGGAGAGAAAAACGGCCAAAGGUCCAAGGGGGGGAAGGAGGGGGGAAAAUGAGAAAAAGGGGGGAAGCAGGAGGGAGGAAGGCGGGGGAGGGGAGAAGGGCCUUGGGGUUGAAAACCUCUUUGAGGAGGGAAGAAGGAAAAGGGGGGGGAGGGGAAGAAGAAGGGGCGGCAAAAUAGGU
rnacentral:rRNA from 1 species